rnacentral:rRNA from 1 species
UAGGGAAUCUUCCACAAUGGACGAAAGUCUGAUGGAGCAACGCCGCGUGAGUGAAGAAGGGUUUCGGCUCGUAAACUCUGUUGUUAAAGAAGAACAUAUCUGAGAGUAACUGUUCAGGUAUUGACGGUAUUUAACCAGAAAGCCACGGCUAACUACGUGCAG